rnacentral:rRNA from 1 species
GAUGAACGCUGGCGGUCUGCUUAACACAUGCAAGUCGAACGGAAUCCUUCGGGAUUUAGUGGCGGACGGGUGAGUAACACGUGAGAAUCUGCACUCAGGAUGGGGACGACAGCGGGAAACUGCUGCCAAUACCCAAUGUGCCGAAAGGUAAAAGAUUUAUCGCCUGAGAAUGAGCUCGAGGCCGAUUAGUUAGUUGGUGGGGUAAUGGCCUACCAAGACGGCGAUCGGUAGCUGGUCUGAGAGGAUGAGCAGCCACACUGGGACUGAGACACGGCCCAGACUACUACGGGAGGCAGCAGUGGGGAAUUUUCCGCAAUGGGCGCAAGCCUGACGGAGCAAGACCGCGUGGGGGAGGAAGGCUCUUGGGUUGUAAACCCCUUUUCUCAAGGAAGAACAAAAUGACGGUACUUGAGGAAUCAGCCUCGGCUAACUCCGUGCCAGCAGCCGCCGUAAGAC